UUCGAGAGAGGGGCAGAGACACAGGCAGAGGGAGAAGUAGGCUCGCUGUGGGGAGCCUGAUGUGGGACUCAAUCCCAGAAUCCUGGGAUCAUGCCCUGUGCUAAAGGCUGAGUCACCCAGGCACCCCAAAUCUCUUUAUUUCUUAUAUAGUCUCUGUCCCAUCUUAGGAGUGAUGACAUUGGCUAAAAUACCUUUCUUUGGAUCACUUUCUGUAUUCACAGUAUCUAAAUAAAAAUAACAUGAAUUGAGAAGGAUCAAUGAUUAGACUCUUGCAAAUGGUCUUUGGCAGUCUCUAAUUGUUUGUCUCGAAUACUGCUCAACAACGAAGUUUAGCUGAUUUCUUUACAAGAGGCCUCUAUCUUCCCUGGCUUGGCAUGGUUGUCAACCUUCUCCCUGCUAACAGGAAGGAGUUUGUCGAGCUGACCUAUCAAAUCCUGGUCCCCUUCUACAAACAGGCCAUCUCAUCUUAUUUCCUCAGAAACUCAGUAUUAUGUGUUUUUAAAAUCAGUUAUUACAGUGUUUCUAAAAAUUCAGUUAAAGAAUAUAAUAUUCAUGGAGAUACUGUAAUUGUAAUCAUUGAUGCAUACAAACUAAUUUUGGUUUAUUCUAUUUUCAAGAAAAUCUUCAAACUAUAUCAUGCUAAACACACCGGUACAAACACCUCAUACAGAAGUAUUAAUUUCUAACAAGGUUUUCUAAUUUUUUAAAGUAAAGAUUCAAAUGGAAUCUUCAAACUCAGCUAAAUGGAAUUCAAAUGCCACUGAAUUAUCACAUAAUGAUACAGCAUAUAAAUAAAGCCCAAGCAUUAAAAUAUUUAUUUUUAAGAUGACUAUAUAGUAGUGAAACAACAGUAAUGAUCAUGCUAAAAUAUGUGAAAUAUUAUUUUGCAAAUAUUAAUAAAGUAAAUUUAAAUAUCUCCAUGGCUAUCUUUAUUGCUCUAUGUUAACUUAUAAAAUUGAUACACUGAAUGUAUUUAGACCAGUGUUAGUUCCACAAAAAUAAUAUGAGCACAGAUGAGAGCCGCACAUGUAAUUUCAAAUGCUAAAUAUUCAGGUUUCCACAUUAAAAAAAGUAAAGAGGAAUACAUGGAGCUAAUUCUAAUAAUAUAUUUAACCCCAAAUAUUCUCAUAUCAACAUGUAAUUGAAUAUAAAAAUUAAUAAGGAAUUAUUAUACUAAGUCUUUGAGAUCUAGCAAAUCUCAAUUCAGAUUUGUACUUUUUAAAUUAGUCAAAUAGCCAUAUGUAGCUAGUGUCUACUAUUGGAAAGUACAGAUCAGAAAGGUAACUAUUUGGGUUUAUAGGAAUUGUUACCAUAAAGUUCAUUUAAGCCAGUUGAGGAAUGCAGGUAUGAAAAUUGAUGGAUGUGUUAUAGUAAUCUGUAUCUACAAUGGAAACAUCAUAGUAUCUUUUUGGAUUAUAAGACAAAAAGUAUAGUUAAUGGAUGAAAUGUUUUCCAAUUAAAACGUGUUCUUCAAAUAUUUGUAAAAUUUUGACUCUUUCAUAAUGCUUCACAAAAAACCUCUGGAAUAUCCAGUUAUUUUAAUAGCUCAAUAAGCUGAACAAUUACUGAAUAAAAUACUAACCUCUUUCCUGAAUUUAAAAUAUGGCUUAAUUUUCAAAAAAUGUUUUGCAUACAAAUGUGCACAGAUUUUUUUAAUAAAAUACAUUGAUAAAAUGAGAUAUAAAUAGUACAAUAAGGAAAUAUUUAAGAACUUGCUGAUACUAGCAAAGUAUCAUGCAGAGGUAUGAAACAAGAAAAAAUUAGAUCAUUUUUAUUUAGACACAACUUUUAUUCAAACAACCAUUCUAUGUUAUGGUAUGUUCUGACCUUAUAUUAAAAACAUUAGCUGUUAUAAAAAAUCAUUUUCUCAUAUAUUACUUAAGUUGUAGUCUUGUAAAUAAAUGCUUCAUGAAAGUUCAAUUACAAGGAUAUGAAUAUCUAAAAUAGUUAAAUACAUAGAAUUAAAAGAAAUAAGCCCUGGCCCCCUUUUUUUUUUUUUGAGUUAUAUAGCUAAAUUUUUGGACAAUGUCUUUACAACAUACUUUCUGUUUGAGAUUAGUGUUAUAAUAUACCACCCAGGGACACCGGGGUGGCUCAGUGGUUAACCUCUGACUUCGGCUCAGGGCAUGAUCUGGGGUCCCGGAUCGAGUUCCACAUUGGGCCCCC
rnacentral:lncRNA from 1 species